AUACGUAGGGGGCGAGCGUUGUCCGGAAUGAUUGGGCGUAAAGGGCGCGUAGGCGGCCCGGUAAGUCUGGAGUGAAAGUCCUGUUUUUAAGAUGGGAAUUGCUUUGGAUACUGUCGGGCUUGAGUGCAGGAGAGGUAAGUGGAAUUCCCAGUGUAGCGGUGAAAUGCGUAGAGAUUGGGAGGAACACCAGUGGCGAAGGCGACUUACUGGACUGUAACUGACGCUGAGGCGCGAAAGUGUGGGGAGCAAACAGGAUUAGAUACCCUGGUAGUCCACGCUGUAAACGAUGAUGACUAGGUGUGGGGGGACUGAACCCUUCCGUGCCGCAGUUAACACAAUAAGUCAUCCACCUGGGGAGUACGGCCGCAAGGUUGAAACUCAAAGGAAUUGACGGGG
rnacentral:rRNA from 1 species